GGAUUAGAUACCCUGGUAGUCCACGCCGUAAACGAUGAUUACUCGUUGUUUGCAAUACACCGCAAGUAACCAAGCGAAAGCGAUAAGUAAUCCACCUGGGGAGUACGCCGGCAACGGUGAAACUCAAAGGAAUUGACGGGGGCCCGCACAAGCGGAGGAACAUGUGGUUUAAUUCGAUGAUACGCGAGGAACCUUACCCAGGCUUGAAAUGUAUUUGACCGUUUGAGAAAUCAGACUUCUAGCAAUAGCAAAUAUGUAGGUGCUGCAUGGUUGUCGUCAGCUCGUGCCG
rnacentral:rRNA from 1 species